rnacentral:rRNA from 1 species
AUGAGAUUUGGCUUAUCUCUUACAGAGUUCUCCUACAGUAACUCCAAACAUAGAUCCACGAGGAGCCCUUUUUUUAUUGUCUACACUAAAGUUCCAACACAUGUGGUGGACCUGGUGAAGCUACCAUCAAGGGGAAACUCAAAAUUAGCAUUUUCCUUUGCUGAUAAUUACACCGAGUUAGUUGAAGAGAUUCACGAUGCUUUGAAAGCACAAAAUCAGAAAUAUAAACAACUUGUUUAUUGCGAAAGGAGGCCAAAAUCAUUCCAAGUCAGUGAUAAGGUGAUGGUCUACCUCCUAAAAGAGAGGCUGCGUUUAGAUGCAUUUAGAUGUUAA